UACGGAGGGGGCUAGCGUUGUGCGGAAUUACUGGGCGUAAAGCGCACGUAGGCGGACUGGAAAGUCAGGGGUGAAAUCCCGCAGCUCAACUGCGGAACUGCCUUUGAUACUGGGUAUCUUGAGUAUGGAAGAGGUAAGUGGAAUUCCGAGUGUAGAGGUGAAAUUCGUAGAUAUUCGGAGGAAUACCAGUGGCGAAAGCGGCACCCUGGCCUUAGUCUGACGCUCAGGUGCGAAAGCGUGGGGAGCAAACGGG
rnacentral:rRNA from 1 species